CACAUCGACGGGGAGGUUUGGCACCUCGAUGUCGGCUCAUCGCAUCCUGGGGCUGGAGCAGGUCCCAAGGGUAUGGCUGUUCGCCAUUUAAAGAGGUACGUGAGCUGGGUUCAAAACGUCGUGAGACAGUUUGGUCCCUAUCUGCUGUGGGCGUUGGAAGUUUGAGGGAGCCUGUUCCUAGUACGAGAGGACCGGAAUGGACGCACCUCUGGUGUACCUGUUGUCACGCCAGUGGCAUUGCAGGGUAGCUAAGUGCGGAAGAGAUAACCGCUGAAGGCAUCUAAGCGGGAAGCCCCCCUCAAAACAAGGUAUCCCUGAGGGCCGUGGAAGACCACCACGUCGAUAGGCCGGAGAUGUAAGCAUGGUAACAUGUUCAGUUGACCGGUACUAAUGGCUCGAUAGGCUUGAU
rnacentral:rRNA from 1 species